GACGAACGCUGGCGGCGUGCCUAAUACAUGCAAGUAGAACGCUGAAGAGAGGAGCUUGCUCUUCUUGGACGAGUUGCGAACGGGUGAGUAACGCGUAGGUAACCUGCCUUGUAGCGGGGGAUAACUAUUGGAAACGAUAGCUAAUACCGCAUAACAAUAGGUGACACAUGUCAUUUAUUUGAAAGGGGCAAUUGCUCCACUACAAGAUGGACCUGCGUUGUAUUAGCUAGUAGGUGAGGUAACGGCUCACCUAGGCGACGAUACAUAGCCGACCUGAGAGGGUGAUCGGCCACACUGGAACUGAGACACGGUCCAGACUCCUACGGGAGGCAGCAGUAGGGAAUCUUCCGCAAUGGGCGAAAGCCUGACGGAGCAACGCCGCGUGAGUGAUGAAGGUCUUCGGAUCGUAAAACUCUGUUAUUAGGGAAGAACAUAUGUGUAAGUAACUGUGCACAUCUUGACGGUACCUAAUCAGAAAGCCACGGCUAACUACGUGCCAGCAGCCGCGGUAAUACGUAGGUGGCAAGCGUUAUCCGGAAUUAUUGGGCGUAAAGCGCGCGUAGGCGGUUUUUUAAGUCUGAUGUGAAAGCCCACGGCUCAACCGUGGAGGGUCAUUGGAAACUGGAAAACUUGAGUGCAGAAGAGGAAAGUGGAAUUCCAUGUGUAGCGGUGAAAUGCGCAGAGAUAUGGAGGAACACCAGUGGCGAAGGCGACUUUCUGGUCUGUAACUGACGCUGAUGUGCGAAAGCGUGGGGAUCAAACAGG
rnacentral:rRNA from 1 species